AUUGAACGCUGGCGGAAUGCUUUACACAUGCAAGUCGAGCGGCAGCGCGGGGCAACCUGGCGGCGAGCGGCGAACGGGCGAGUAAUGCAUCGGAACAUGUCCAUGUCGUGGGGGAUAGCCCGGCGAAAGCCGGAUUAAUACCGCAUACGCCGGAGGGGGGAAAGCAGGGGACCGCAAGGCCUUGCGCGAUUGGGUGGGCCGAUGUCCGAUUAGCUAGUUGGCGGGGUAAAGGCCCACCAAGGCGAUGAUCGGUAGCUGGUCUGAGAGGAUGAUCAGCCACACUGGGACUGAGACACGGCCCAGACUCCUACGGGAGGCAGCAGUGGGGAAUUUUGGACAAUGGGGGAAACCCUGAUCCAGCCAUUCCGCGUGAGUGAAGAAGGCCUUCGGGUUGUAAAGCUCUUUUGUCCGGAACGAAACGGUUGCGGUGAAUAUCCGCGACUACUGACGGUACCGGAAGAAUAAGCACCGGCUAACUACGUGCCAGCCGCCGCGGUAACAC
rnacentral:rRNA from 1 species